CAGGAAGUGAAGACCAGAGUCAGGGGACUUUCAGAACCUGUCUUUCCUUCACAAGAAUUCAGGGUCUCAGUCUGCCACCCUAGCUGGAGUUGCAGUGGCGUGAUCAUAGCUCACUGAAGCCUGGAACUCCUCGGCUCAAGUUUCCUCCUGCAUCAGCCUAAGUAGCUGGGACUACAGGUGUGCAUCACCACUGUGCCUGGCCUGAAAAUAUUUAUUGAACACCACCUUGUGUACAGACUGCUGUGGAAGGAUGAAGAAGAAAUUGGAGGUCUUCAUUCUGUUGUUGAGGAGCUACCGUAUAAAUUGGAGCUGAAAGCCUGUGAAAACUGAUGUAAAUGCUUAUGAAAUAGUGGAGAAAGGACAAAUGAGCACUUCGACAAAGAAAGGGGAGGGACAGGAUAUUUUAUGUUUCUUCCCACUCUGACAGUGGCUGCCAGGGGCUGCCUUUCUGCAGCAAACUUCCCAUGUUUUCUUUUUAUAAGGUUUUUGGCCACCUAUUAAUUUUCUUCUGCCUUCUCUGGUUGAUCUUAUUCUGAUUUAGUUUCCUUUUGGGCAAGGAUGUGGGUCUAAUCAUUAACUCAGCCUACAAGCUUGUUGCCUUCAAAGAGUAACUCCUUCAAUCCAGGGGGCCGCGGUGGGGAAAAAAAUACCCAACACUUUUAAAGGAAAGCCAAAAAAAAAAAAAAAGGAAUUUAAAUUUUGCUCUUUGAAAACAAGAGAAGGAUAAAAUACUCUAUUGCCUGCUUUUAAAAUUAAGGGCUCUCCUUUAUAACUGUAUGCAGCACUUUACUCAAUACAUGUGACUAAUAGAAUAAAUUUCAAGACCGUAUUUUGGCCAGUGAAAGGAAAGAUGCUGUAGAGGAAAUGUUUAGAUGGGGAAAUGAAGAGCUCAGAAAAGAGGCAGAUUCAACCUUGAUAUUUUCCAAAUUCCUGAAAAACAAAUUCUGUAAGGGUGCAUAUGUAGUUCCCGGGCGGCACAGAGUGGUGGAAACACCAUGUGCAUUGGGGCCAGGCAGGCAGGCACGGGGUGUUCUGGGUAAUUUUCAGCAGUGGCUUCUGCUUUCAGCCCAGGUUGCUUUGUGGGGUUAUCAAUCAGUAAUGAGAAAAAUGUGCAUGAAAUAUCUGGCACAGGCAGACUUUAAAUAAAUGUUAAAAACAAA